UGCGUAGGGUGCGAGCGUUAAUCGGAAUUACUGGGCGUAAAGGGUGCGCAGGCGGUUUUGUAAGUCAGAUGUGAAAUCCCCGGGCUUAACCUGGGAAUUGCGUUUGAAACUACAAAUCUAGAGUGUGGCAGAGGGAGGUGGAAUUCCAUGUGUAGCAGUGAAAUGCGUAGAGAUAUGGAAGAACAUCGAUGGCGAAGGCAGCCUCCUGGGUUAACACUGACGCUCAUGCACGAAAGCGUGGGGAGCAAACAGG
rnacentral:rRNA from 1 species